rnacentral:rRNA from 1 species
UACAGAGGUCCCAAGCGUUGUUCGGAUUCACUGGGCGUAAAGGGUGCGUAGGUGGCUUGGUAAGUUCGAUGUGAAAUCUCCGGGCUUAACCCGGAAAUGGCAUUGAAUACUAUUGAGCUGGAGGUUUGGAGGGGGGACUGGAAUUCUCGGUGUAGCAGUGAAAUGCGUAGAUAUCGAGAGGAACACCAGUGGCGAAGGCGAGUCCCUGGACAACACCUGACACUGAGGCACGAAGGCCAGGGGAGCAAACGGG